rnacentral:rRNA from 1 species
UACAGAGGUCUCAAGCGUUGUUCGGAUUCAUUGGGCGUAAAGGGUGCGUAGGCGGCGCGGUAAGUCGGGUGUGAAAUCUCGGAGCUUAACUCCGAAACUGCAUUCGAUACUGCCGUGCUUGAGGACUGGAGAGGAGACUGGAAUUUACGGUGUAGCGGUGAAAUGCGUAGAUAUCGUAAGGAAGACCAGUGGCGAAGGCGGGUCUCUGGGCCGUAACUGACGCUGGAGGAGCGAAAGCGUGGGGAGCGAACAGG